CAAAAUUGUUUACACGAGUGGCCGGGAUAGUGUCACUAUCCCGGCCACUCGUGUUAACAAUUUUGGAU
rnacentral:pre_miRNA from 1 species